rnacentral:rRNA from 1 species
GCUUACGGCCAUAUCAGCCUGGGUACGCCCGAUCUCGUCUGAUCUCGGAAGCUAAGCAGGGUCCGGCCUGGUUAGUACUUGGAUGGGAGACCGCCUGGAAAUACCAGGUGCUGUAAGCA